UGAAAAGAAUAGGGCACGACUCAGCGACCAAACAGCAACAACAGCAAUUUUAAAGAGAUAAACUCAGGCUUGAGAUGUUUCCUUGGAUUAUGGAUAUCAAACACAUAAGGAGGUGAAGCCACUUGAGAAGGAACAAAGUCUAAGAGAAUUCAACUGGACCAGGACCUUUGACUUCUGAGGUCAGCUUCUCCUGCAGAGAAUGAACUUUGUUCACUAAAAAGGGUACGUGUUAAAUACUCCAGCUCAGAGAACACUGUCUUGCACUUGGAUAAGCUAAAGUGCAAAGCAAUUGUGACAUAGUUUGCCUUUUACAAAUCUCACCUCUUGUUUCUGGUUUCACAUUUUCUCUCUUAAGAACUUGGAACUAUUGUGUUUCUAUAAAUGCGUCAGUUGGUAAGGGUCUGCUCUGCGUCAGAGAUAAUUCUAAAAUAUUUACAUUCACACUCUGACUACUGCUUUAUCUCCUUCCCUCUUUUCUGUUGUCGAAUCAGAGCCCUUAAUUUCUUGCUGGGCAUAACAGUGUCCAGGAUAACAGACAUUCCAGGUGCUCUGUUGGUUAGAGCUCCGAAUGGACUUGGAUCCUGCAAAUCAGAUGUACUUGUGAGAGAUCUGAAGAGAUGCCAAAGUCGUGGUUUCACUGCUUCUGCCAUUUGAGCCCCCUUCCUCAUGACCUUUGCCACAGGUGGGAUUCCCCAUGCUGGCUCCCGGCACUGAAGGAUAUUGAUGGACACUUUCCUGGCCUGGCCAUCCAAGAAGCAGUUGGUAAGGACAGCAGCAGCUGGCUCUCCUUCUCCACAGGUUCCGCCUCCACUGAUUUAAUCGCAGAACCCGAGGGUGCUGAGGGCCACCCGGAACUCUGCUCAGGAAAGGUGAGAGAAUCUCAAGCUGUAGCAGAGAAUCUACACCUGUGUUAAAGAAUCUAAAAUAUUUGUGAACCUAAUAAUUUGGUGCUUCACAGUGUUAAAAAUCCACUAUAUCAGUACCUCCACACUGAAGCAAUGGUAAGAAUUUGCUCUGAAGUGGCAUAGUGGCCCUAAUUCCUAGACAAGAACACGUCCAAAGCCUUCUGGGCUUGGCAAGAAGAAUCAGCCCAGCAGUGCAGAUCAGGUUAAGGGUGUAGCCCUACCUUUCAAAAUCCUUAUUUUAGGGCAUCAUGGAAGCCCCCUGUGUUAGUUUCGAGUGCUCCCGUUAAAAAGUACCACAAAUUGGGUGGCUUGAACCACAGACAUUUACUAUCUUACAGUUUUAGAGGCUAGAGUUUGAAAUCAAGGUGUCGGCAGGGCAGUUUCUUCUGAGAACUGCCAGGGAAACCUGUCUCGUGGCUCUCCCCUGGCUGUUGGUGGUUCACUGACAACCUCUGGCAUUUCCUGUCUUGUGGCUGCAUCACCCUGAUCUCUGCCUUAUCUUCAUGUGGCAUUGUCGUUGUGUGUGUGGCUGUGUCCAGAAUUCCCCUCUUUUUGUAAGGACACAGGUCAUAUUGGGUUAGGGCUCACCCCAAUGAUCUCAUUUCAACUUGACGGCCACUGUGAAGAUCUUGUCUUCAAAUAAGGUCACAUACUGUGGUACUUGGAGUUAAGAUCAGGCAUAUGUUUUUAGGAUGGAGGACACAAUUCAACCCAUAGACAUCAUCAUUAGACUGAAAAAUGGCUGUGCAGACUGUAGCAGGUAGGAAGGAAUGAAAACCACAUCUGUGGACUUCUGUUGAUAAACAGAAACAUACAUAUAAGUGUGUGUAUAAUUUCUAGAUGAUGUCUUUGGGUUCAAUUUUUAUACAGAAACUGACCAGGUGAAAGACUGCGUGCCUAUUAAGAGGAAAUUCUUUACCAGAAAAACCAAAAACUUGGCCUGCCAAAGCCUGACUGUCUUGAGUCAGUCUCAAUGCAAACUUAAGUACCAAACUUAAACUAGUGAAAAGCAGGACGUGAGAGUUUGCAGCCCCAAGAACAGCAGGCACUCCAGUGCCCAAUGGAGUGUGACAGAGGAGACUAAUGGACCAGGAGGGACCACGUAAACAAAGCCAGUGGUCUUGGAGAUGACAGAGGAAGCAGAAGUUUUUGGAUGGGCUAACCUAGGAAAUUAUAAUUGUCUAUUGCCAGGGCAGACACCUCUGAAAUUCCUGCCCAUUACAAUAUUUUUUUUUUCUGAAGAGAAUCUUUUAUUAUAGUCAUCCUGUCCCUAUUCCACCAUAGAAUUGUGUGUGUGUGUGUGUGUGUGUGUGUGUGUGUGUGUGUGUGUGUAUGUGUGUUAGGCAUGGGGGAAUAACUUACCAGUCACUUCCUGGAUCACCUGUCCAUAGGUAGCCACAUCUGGACCUAAUGGAGAGAAAUUUGUGUUCUCCUAAUGAAGACACAAAGAGAACUUUGUGUCCCUCAGAUAUCCUGACCUAAACCAGAGCUGGGUUUAGUCUCUCAAUGGAACUUUGAAGUCAUCUCUUAGGUAAGGUAUGAGUUUUCUCUCUGGGAUAAAGGGUGCUCACGAAUCUCAAGGAUGGAAACUGUGGUCUUUGGCAGACUGCUAGAUGUCCUCCGAUAGCUAUUCUUCCCCUUUCUUUUAAUCUAUGGCAAUAGAACCCCCAAUAUUUUAUCUGGACACAAGAUCACUCCAAAUAAAGACUAAUAUAUUUCUGAGCGUCCCAUACAGCUACAGCUGUGGUUUUGAAUUAGUUUCUGUCAAUCAGCUGCUCUCUGGAAACAUUCAGAAGGCAAGAGCCAGGAGAGGUGAUGAGGAGGUCUCUGGUUGCCUGCAGUGGCUUCUUGACCAGAGAGGCUUUCCUGGGCAUUGUAGAGACAAAGUAAUUUUAAAAUUGGUAACCAUAGGAGCAGCUUCCCAAAUGGACAGGUGACUUCCCAAACAUAGAAGACACAAUAGGUCCCCUGGUGUCCCAGUGUUACGGUAUGACUGAGAUUUAUUUUUGAGACCUCAAACUAUAAUUGAUUUUAUGUCUUCCCCUACAGUUCUUUAGGAUCUUUAAGACUCUGGAAAAUUCCUUUUCUAUUUAAACUAGCAGAGGGAAUUUUCUGGGGGUCCAGUGGUUAGGACUCUGCACUUUCACUGCCAAAGCUGUGGGGUUCAAUCUCUUGUCAGGGAACUAAGAUCCAACAAGUCACCAGGAACAGCUAAAUUAAAGAACGAAAACCAAGGGAGGGGCUAGCAGAGUGUCUAUUCACUGCAGUUGAAUGUGUCCAGUACAGAUUGGAGUUAUUUUUUCAUUUUAUGGAUAAAGAGACUAAGGCUUAGAGACAGUAGUGAGCUGGUAAACCAGUUCUCUAUGGGGAAAAAGUGCCCACAUUUGUAGCAUUUGACACCAUCUGUGGUAAAUACUCCUACCGUGACUGGUUUCAAGUCUCCAAAGGUUUAAAAACCUUUAAGCAGAAUUCCUAAAAGUUUAACAGUUGGCUCUUGCAAGCUGGCUCCUGUUCAAACACACCAUGCUUACAGAAUUUAAGUAACUUCCCCAACAUACCAAGUCAGUAACUGUUUAAUAAAAAGAUUGAACACAUAGUGAUACCUUAAAAAUCAUUGCAGUUUAUCAGGAGAGUUCUGGACUGCCAGUGUAACACUAACAGAAAUGUACAUCACAUGGUAUAAAUGCUUCCAGUGUGUCCAGAGAUUUCCUUAAUGAACGCUGAGACAGUAGUUCAGGCAGGCUUGGGGUGAGUAGUCUUUACUGAUAGUAUUACAUGCAUGUGACAUAAAGGGGAUUUAAACAGCUUAAGACCAUCAAAAUUGCAAGUGGGACUUAAGGAAUGAGAGAUAUAAUUCAUAAAUUGAAAAUUUUAAAGUUGGUGCUUCCUGACUGCUGUGAGACUGAGUUUGUGGUUGGGGUAGUUAUGCCACAGACCUACUAGAGAAUUCCUGAAGACCACAAAGUGAAUGGAAACUGAGCUUCAAGCAUGUUUGUAUUUUCAUAGUAUUGCUUUUUGAUGUUAAAUGAGCAAUAUUGAAACCUA